AAAAUACAGCAGAUGGACAUAAAAAGCAUUACCGUGGUCGUAUUGGGGAUAAUAUCAGUGGCUACUGGCUUUGCCGCUGAAUUCACAAGGGUUAAGGCUUCACAAGUACAGGUAGAUGUUUACGGACGAUGUUCGUAUCCUCGUAGCCCUGCGCUUCUUCUAGGAAUAACUUCCGCCGCAACGCUUUCCAUCGCUAAAAUAAUAAUUAAUUUCGCCACCGGCUGUUUUUGC